ACACGAGACAUCCAUGGGCAAUGCUGCUCUGUUCCCUGAGUGUUUUUACUCUUUGUUCUGCUUGGUAGUCACCAUGGAAAUGCACAAAUACCUAUGAUUAAGUCUGAUUUUACACAUUUGUCUAGAAAAGUGCAUAUUCAUAGCUCUGACCAUAAUUUCUCGUUGUCAGCGGAUGGACAUUUUUAUUCUGUGCAAUAAAUAUAUAAUUUUCUUUUCUAAUAUAUACAAAUGGAUUAGUUUCAUAGUGUUAAUUUUUACUUCCAAAAGGAUAUAUAAAAAUCAUCUGGGGUGUGUUUUUUCCCAUUGCAAGCUCAGAAUCAUUUCUGAAAUUACAUCUUGGAUUCCUGAUCCCGUGGAUGCUUCUAGAUGGAUGUAUGUAGGAGCUCUCUUCAUACCCCUCUGCUCAGCUUGGGAAGGUAAUAAUUGAACUGAAGGGGAUGUCAGAGGUGUGUCUAUGCCCAGGAUCUUUUUCUACUUUUACCCUUACAUGAACAGGAUAAGAGAAGUGAGGAAGGCAGUAGUUGUUCUGAGCUGCUAGAACAAAUAGUUUGCUUUUACUUUAUGUCUUGUGACAACACUGAUGGAGGGCAACUGCAGCAGUUUAUGCUAGGUGGGAAUGAAGAGUCUAGUCCUUUCACGGAUAGUGGUGAUUUAAUCCCUAUCUUCAGCAGAAAACAUGCAGGACAUGUCCAAGUGGUGCUUGGGCAUGUCCUGCAGAAAAAUACAGAGAGAGCUGACUGUCAGGAUGUGAAAUUUUGUCUUAAAAUAACUAAGGGGGUGUAUAAAAAGCAGCCCUGAAAUGUACAUUAUAUUUUUAAUGAGGUUUGAACUACAGUUUACUAAAAGUCACUGCAAAGCAAUCUGCUCUCCAGCUGAUCAAGGUCACUGUAUAAUAACAUCGCAAAAGAAUUUCUUCCUUGGCUAACAGUUGAGCCAUAGAAGUAUACAAAGGAGAGAACUGAGAAAACUGAUUUGUAGAGUGUUUCAGUGUGUUACUGAGACAAGUGGGUGGGGUUUGCAGAUUCUGUGAGUUGCUCUACUUUAUUUUACACCCAUUGAAACCUGCAUGCUCUUUAACUGUUAAUAAAACUAAAUAUGUAGUUGCCA
rnacentral:lncRNA from 1 species